GUGUGGAGUUUGACGUGUAAACUUGCUAGAGAGAGUGGUCUCCAGCCCAGGGAGUGUCUAUGAGGUAGGACUUCAUGGUGGUUGUCUUUCAGGAAUGAACCUCAUAGGAAAUCAUCUGUCCCUCCUUCAAUGAUCAUGGCCUCCAUACGCAGAAGAGUUGACAGGAUUCUACUGGGUGACUCCACAGGCCACUAAGGGACUUUAGCCACGCUUCCUGAGGCCUGGCAUAUCACAGAACUUGCUGGAAGUCACUUGUGAGGCAAGCCCUUGGCAAGCAGCACUGAGUAUGACAUUAUCUGCUGUGACGGAGGUCUAAUAUCAGAUCAUUUACGCGACCUUGUCCAACAAGGACAGAAGUAAAUAUCUUCCACGCACAUGCCAUCCGAUCCAGGCAACAGCCCAGGGAGGAGGACUGCUGUUUCUCCUCACACUGUGCAAGUGGAGGUGCAGAAAGGAGGGGACACUGGAGCCUAACUUCCACCCACCCUCAGCUGUUUUACACCUGCGCCCUCAGGGAGGCUGCAACUCGGUCUUUUAUGAGGUUAAUGGGAAAAUGUGCUGUGUGAUAUGGGCCCCCGGCAGAAGAGGAAACAGCCCAGGGUGUAGAUUUUAGCAAGAAAGAACUGAAAACUUGAGAAUGAUGGUAGACUGCCACAAGUCCCUUGCUGGGUCACCUGUCCCCUCUUGCCGUAACAAUGAAGGCCUAUGCUUGCAUCUCAGUUUUGACAUGACUGCCCAGAGGUGUCUACACAAGCACUCAACAGCUCCUACUUGGUUUAAAUCUCACUUCCCCUAUGAAGCCUUCCUGGACCUUCCAAAGGGUAUCUUUGAUGUGUGCUAACAUAAUCACUCAUAGUUGCCUAUAUGCACCCACCCAACCCCCCAAGCCUGCUGAUGCUAAACUUUCUUUCAAAAUGGGGAAGUAUUUGCCUACAUUACCCCUCGCACAACCUCUGUUAUAUCUCACACAAUCCCCAGGUUACUCAUAAUCUUACAACAACCUGAAUGCUUUGUUAACAUUUGUUAUACUCUAUUGUUCAAUAAACAAUCAAG
rnacentral:lncRNA from 1 species